rnacentral:lncRNA from 1 species
AUGACCAUAUAUGCUUAGAUCUUUCCAUCACAUGAUGCUUGCCAACUAAAGAGUAGGUUGGAAUGAGAAGGAAUACUACUGACUCUUGCAUAAAAGUAAAAGAUAGGCCCUUCGCAGAGGGAAGCAGGGAUUUGUAGAGGUGCCAGAGCUCGAAGCUAAAACAUAGAUGAAAAUAAUUUUGAGAGGUAUGCUUUCAUUGUCAAUAUAACGACCAAGAGUUCCCAAUAUCUUCCACACUAGAUACAUCAUAGGCGGUUCCCACACAGAAAGGUAAAAAAUUUACUCCCCCUCCACCAACAUUCACACUCCACGGCUUGUCCGAAACAACGGGUGCCGUCCAACUAUCAACAUUCCUGGGGGAGUUUUGUUUAAAUUAUUUGCAAAUUUGUUUUUGAUCUUUUGAUCAUAGGACUGGGCAUCCAAGUUACUAGCCAUUUUCUCGUGAAUGAUGAGGGGAGUCCACUCAUCGUGAGAAUAACCCACCUAGCAUGGAAGAUACUGACAACCCCUAGUCGCUACAUGAGCGAUUCGGGCAUACAAAACAUAUUAUUAUUUGAAGGUUUAGAGUUUGGCACAUGCAAGUUUACUUGGAACGGCAGGUAAAUACUGCAUAUAGGUAGAUAUGGUGGACACUCAUGGAAGAAACUUGGUUGAAGGAAUUUGGAUGCACAAGCAGUAUUCCCGCUUAGUACAGAUAUUUUGGCUAGCAAAGGACUCUAAAUAACAAGCAUCACAUGUUAGAGGAUCCAUAACAAUACAACGUAUAUACAAAUAUACCCAAGCAUAACUCAUUAUGUUGUCUUCCUUGUCCAACUUCAACUAAUUUGCUCAGGUUCGAAAUAAUUAAUGGGGCUCACUAUCAUACAAGAUGUCCAAGAUAGUAUAUUUAUAUGUGAAAUCUCUCUUCCUUCAAUAUUCUUUCAUGAAUUGUUCAAGUGACCAAUACAAUGUUUGCUAACCUUCAAUAAAUUUACCACCUCUACUUCUUAUAUGUGAAGUCAUUACUCCCCAUGGGAAAGGAAUAUGAAACAUAUAUAAUUUUAGAUUUGUGACAUUCAAAUCAUUCAACCAUUUACUCAUAGGAUAUAAGUGACACACAUGAGUAAAUGACAAACUACUCCAAAAAGAUAUAAGUGAUGAUCAAUGAGUAGUUAAAUAAUUAUGUAGCUAUGUGAAGACUCUCUAACAUUUAAGAAUUUAAGAUCUUGGUAUUUUAUUCAAACAGCAAGCAAAACAACAGAAAAUAAAAUGACGCUCCAAGCAAAACACAUAUCAUGUGGUGAAUAAAAAUAUAGCACCAAGUAAAGUUACCGAUGAAUGAAGACGAAAGAGGGGAUGCCAUUCGGGGCAUCCAGAUGCUUAGGCACUUGGUUAUGCUUGAAUAUUACCUUGGGGUGCCUUGGGCAUCCCCAAGCUUAGGCUCUUGCCACUCCUUAUUCCAUAGUCCAUCGAAUCUUUACCCAAAACUUGAAAACUUCACAACACAAAACUCAACAGAAAACUCGUAAGCUCCGUUAGUAUAAGAAAAUAAAUCACCACUUAGGUACAGUUGUGAACUUAUUCUAAAUUCAUAUUGGUGUAGUAUCUACUGUAUUCCAACUUAUCUAUGGUUCAUACCCUCCGAUACUACUCAUAGAUUCAUCAAAAUAAGCAAACAACACAUAGAAAACAGAAUCUGUCAAAAACAGAACAGUCUGUAGUAAUCUGUAUCAAGCGUAUACUUAUGGAACUCCAAACAUUCUACCAAAAUAGGACGACCUAGAUAAUUUGAUUAUUGAUCUGCUUCAAUUGGAAUCAGUAUUUUAUCACGUUCUGGUGAUUUUAAACAAUUGUUUUCGUGAACAGAAAGUUUCUGGAAUUUUCAGCAAGAUCAAAUAACUAUCAUCCAAGAAGAUCCUAUAGGUCUUACUUGGCACAAACACUAAUUAAAACAUAAAACGACAUCUAACCAGAGGCUAGAUGAAUUAUUUAUUAAUAAGCAGGAACAAAAAGCAAGGAAGAAAAAUAAAAUUGGGUUGCCUCCCAACAAGAGCUAACGUUUAACGCCCCUAGCUUGGCAUGAUGAUUUCAAUGAUGCUCGCAUAAAAGAUAAGAAUUGAAACAUAAAGAGAGAAUCAUGAAGAAUAUGAAUACCACAUUUAAGUCUAACCCACUUCCUAUGCAUAGGUAUUUUGUGAGCAAACAACUUAUGGGAACAAUAACCAACUAGCAUAGGCAGGCAAAACAAGCAUAACUCCAAAAAAAAUUCAACAAAUAGAGAGGAAACUUGAUAUUAUUGCAAUAUGUAGAAGCAUGUGAUCCUCUCUCAUAAUAAUUUUCAGUAGCAUCAUGAAUGAAUUCAACCAUAUAACUAGCACAUAAAGCAUUCGUUUCAUGAUCUACUUGCAUAGAAAUUUUACUACUCUCCACAUAUGAAAAUUUAUUCUCAUCAAUAGUAGUGGGAGCAAACUCAACAAAGUAACUAUCAUGUGAAGCAUAAUCCAAUUGAAAAUUAAAAUCAUGAUGACAAGUUUCAUGGUUAUAUUUAUUCUUAAUAGCAUACAUGUCAUCACAAUAAUCAUCAUAAAUAGGAGGCAUGCUAUCAUCAUAAUAAAUUUGCUCAUCAAAACUUGGGGGACUAAACAUAUCAUCUUCAUUAAACAUAGCAUCCCCAAGCUUGUCGCUUUGCAUAUCAUUAGCAUCAUGGGUAUUCAAAGAAUUCAUACUAACAAUAUUGCAAUCAUGCUCAUCAUUCACAUAUUUUAUGCCAAGCAUUCUAUGUAAUUCUUCUUCUAGUACUUGAGCACAAUUUUCCUUCCCAUCAUAUUCACGAAAGACAUUAAAAAGAUGAAGCAUAUGAGGCACCUGCAAUUCCAUUUUUUUUGUAGUUUUCUUUUAUAGACUAAACUAGUGAUAAAACAAGAAACAAAAAGAUUCGAUUGCAAGAUCUAAAGAUAUACCUUCAAGCACUCACCUCCCCGGCAACGGUGCCAGAAAAGAGCUUGAUGUCUACUACACAACCUUCUUCUUGUAGACGUUGUUGGGCCUCCAAGUGCAGAGGUUUGUAGGACAGUAGCGAAUUUCCCUCAAGUGGAUGACCUAAGGUUUAUCAAUCCGUGGGAGGCAUAGGAUGAAGAUGGUCUCUCUCAAGCAACCCUGCAACCAAAUAACAAAGAGUCUCUUGUGUCCCCAACACACCCAAUACAAUGGUAAAUUGUAUAGGUGCACUAGUUCGGUGAAGAGAUGGUGAUACAAGUGCAAUAUGGAUGGUAGAUAUAGGUUUUUGUAAUCUGAAAAUAUAAAAACAGCAAGGUAACUAAUGAUAAAAGUGAGCACAAACGGUAUUGCAAUGCGUUGAAACAAGGCCUAGGGUUCAUACUUUCACUAGUGCAAGUUCUCUCAACAAUAAUUACAUAAUUGGAUCAUAUAACUAUCCCUCAACAUGCAACAAAGAGUCACUCCAAAGUCACUAAUAGUGGAGAACAAACGAAGAGAUUAUGGUAGGGUACGAAACCACCUCAAAGUUAUCCUUUCUGAUCGAUCUAUUCAAGAGUCCGUAGUAAAAUAACACGAAGCUAUUCUUUCCGUUCGAUCUAUCAUAGAGUUCGUACUAGAAUAACACCUUAAGACACAAAUCAACGAAAACCCUAAUGUCACCUAGAUACUCCAAUGUCACCUCAAGUAUCCGUGGGUAUGAUUAUACGAUAUGCAUCACACAAUCUCAGAUAAAUCUAUUCAACCAACACAAAGAACUUCAAAGAGUGCCCCAAAGUUUCUACCAGAGAGUCAAGAUGAAAACGUGUGCCAACCCCUAUGCAUAGGUUCAUGGGCGGAACCCGCAAGUUGAUCACCAAAACAUACAUCAAGUGGAUCACGUGAUAUCCCAUUGUCACCACAGAUAAGCACGGCAAGACAUACAUCAAGUGUUCUCAAAUCCUUAAAGACUCAAUCCGAUAAGAUAACUUCAAAGGGAAAACUCAAUCCAUUACAAGAGAGUAGAGGGGGAGAAACAUCAUAAGAUCCAACUAUAAUAGCAAAGCUCGUGAUACAUCAAUAUCGUGCCGAAUGAAGAACACGAGAGAGAGAGAGAGAGAUCAAACACAUAGCUACUGGUACAUACCCUCAGCCCCGAGGGUGAACUACUCCCUCCUCGUCAUGGAGAGCGCCGGGAUGAUGAAGAUGGCCACCGGUGAGGGAUCCCCCCCCUCCGGCAGGGUGCCGGAACAGGGUCCCGAUUGGUUUUUGGUGGCUACGGAGGCUUGCGGCGGUGGAACUCCUGAUCUAUUCUGCUCCCCGAUGUUUUUAGGAUAUAUGGACAUAUAUAGGCGAAAGAAGUCGGUAAGGGGAGCCACGAGGGGCCCACGAGGGUGGAGGGCGCGCCCAGGGGGGUGGGUGUGCCCCCUGCCUCGUGCCUUCCUCGUGGGUUCCCUUACGUACACUCCAUGUCUUCUAGAUUGCUUUCGUUCCAAAAAUAACUCUCCCGAAGGUUUCAUUCCGUUUGGACUCCGUUUGAUAUUCCUUUUCUGCGAAACACUGAAACAAGGAAUAAAAUAGAAACUGGCACUGGGCUCUGGGUUAAUAGGUUAGUCCCAAAAAUAAUAUAAAAGUGCAUAGUAAAUCCCAUUAAACAUCCAAGAUGGAUAAUAUAAUAGCAUGAAUACUUCAUAAAUUAUAGAUACGUUGGAGACGUAUCAGCAUCCCCAAGCUUAAUUCCUGCUCGUCCUCGAGUAGGUAAAUGAUAAAAGAAAGAAUUUAUGAAGUGUGAAUGCUAGCAGGUGCACAAGUUUGAUCAAUGAUAAUUUCAAUCACCUUUUUAGCAUCAUCAUAUGUCAUAACAGUAGCUCAACUCAUAGAACUUUUCAUGAUCAAGUAACAAACUAUUCACAUGUUAAAGUAUAGAUCAUAAACUUUCUUGAAAACUAACAAGCCGUGUUAUUAGUCAUCAAACAAUUACAAUUCAUAUUAUUUUCAGGAAGAGUCUAUGUCAGAGCUUUGAUUCAGUAAACUUCACAUACUCAACUAUCAUUUGUCUUCCAUGAUUGCUACCACUCAAAGCAUAUUUUUAAAACAAAUAGUAUUCAUCGAACAUAGAGAAAGAUAGGGGCUUAAUGUUUCGCCUCCCAACCUUUUACCUCAAGGGUAAUGUCAACAAUAAUAAUUCAUGCUCAAAUAUAUUUGAAUGGCCAUAUAUGCUUAGAUAUUUCCAUCACAUGAUGCUUGCCAACUAAAGAGUAGGUUGGAAUGAGAGGGAAUAUUACUGACUAUUGCAUAAAAGUAAAAGAUAGGCCCUUCGCAGAGGGAAGCAUGGAUUUGUAGAGGUGCCAGAGCUCGAAGCUAAAACAGAGAUGAAAAUAAUUUUGAGAGGUAUGCUUUCAUUGUCAAUAUAACGACCAAGAGUUCCCAAUAUCUUCCACACUAGAUACAUCAUAGGCGGUUCCCACACAGAAAGGUAAAAUUUUUACUCCCCCUCCACCAACAUUCACACUCCACGGCUUGUCCGAAACAACGGGUGCCGUCCAACUUUCAACAUUCCUGGGGGAGUUUUGUUUAAAUUAUUUGCGAAUUUGUUUUUGAUCUUUUGAUCAUAGGACUGGGCAUCCCAGUUACCAGCCAUUUUCUUGUGAAUGAUGAGCGGAGUCCACUCAUCGUGAGAAUAACCCACCUAACAUGGAAGAUACUGACAGCCCCUAGUCGCUACAUGAGCGAUUCAGGCAUAGAAAACAGAUUAUUAUUUGAAGGUUUAGAGUUUGGCACAUGCAAAUUUACUUGGAACGGCAGGUAAAUACCGCAUAUAGGUAGAUAUGCUGGACACUCAUGGAAGAAACUUGGUUCAAGGAAUUUGGAUGCACAAGCAGUAUUCCCUCUUAGUACAGAUAUUUUGGCUAGCAAAGGAUUCUAAAUAGCAAGCAUCACAUGUUAGAGGAUCCAUAACAAUAUAACUUAUAUACAAAUAUACCCAAGGAUAACUCAUUAUGUUGUCUUCCUUGUCCAACUUCAACUAAUUUUCUCAGGUUUGAAAAUAAUUAAUGGGGCUCACAAUCAUAGAAGAUGUCCAAGAUAGUAUAUUUAUAUGUGAAAUCUCUCUUCCUUCAACAUUCUUUCAUGAAUUGUUCAAGUGACCAAUACAAUGUUUGUAACCUUCAAUAAAUUACCACCUCUACUUCUUAUAUCUGAAGUCAUUACUCCCCAUGGGAAAGGCAUAUGAAACAUAUAUAAUUUUAGAUUUAUGACAUUCAAAUCAUUCAACCAUUUAGUCAUGGGAUAUAAGUGAAGCACACGAUUAAAUGACAAACUACUUCAAAAAGAUAUAAGUGAAUAUCAAUGAGUAGAUAAAUAAUUAUGUAGCUAUGUGAAGACUCUCUAACAUUUAAGAAUUUCAGAUCUUGGUAUUUUAUUCAAACAGCAAGCAAAA